rnacentral:rRNA from 1 species
GUUAUAUGGUCAAGCGAAUAAGCGCACACGGUGGAUGCCUUGGCGGUCAGAGGCGAUGAAGGACGUGGCAGCCUGCGAAAAGUAUCGGGGAGCUGGCAACAAGCUUUGAUCCGGUAAUGUCCGAAUGGGGAAACCCACCCGCUUGCGGGUAUCCUGCAGUGAAUACAUAGCUGCUGGAAGCGAACCUGGUGAACUGAAAUAUCUAAGUAACCAGAGGAAAAGAAAUCAACCGAGAUUCCGUAAGUAGCGACGAGCGAACGCGGACUAGCCCUUAAGCUGAUUUGGUUCUAGGAAAAUGCUCUGGAAAGAGCAGCCAUAGAAGGUGAUAGCCCUGUAUCUGAAAGGGCCAUUUCAGUGAAGACGAGUAGGGCGGGGCACGUGAAACCCUGUCUGAACAUGGGGGGACCAUCCUCCAAGGCUAAAUACUACUGACCGACCGAUAGUGAACCAGUACCGUGAGGGAAAGGCGAAAAGAACCCCGGAGAGGGGAGUGAAAUAGAACCUGAAACCGUGUGCGUACAAGCAGUAGGAGCUCCGCAAGGAGUGACUGCGUACCUUUUGUAUAAUGGGUCAGCGACUUACUGUUCGUGGCAAGCUUAACCGUAUAGGGGAGGCGAAGGGAAACCGAGUCUGAUAAGGGCGCAUAGUCGCGGGCAGUAGACCCGAAACCGGGUGAUCUAGUCAUGCCCAGGGUGAAGGUGCGGUAACACGCACUGGAGGCCCGAACCCACUCCCGUUGCAAAGGUAGGGGAUGAGGUGUGAUUAGGAGUGAAAAGCUAAUCGAACCCGGAGAUAGCUGGUUCUCCUCGAAAGCUAUUUAGGUAGCGCCUCAUAUGUAUCCUCUCGGGGGUAGAGCACUGUUAUGGCUAGGGGGUCAUCGCGACUUACCAAACCAUUGCAAACUCCGAAUACCGAGACGGACUGUAUGGGAGACACACGGCGGGUGCUAACGUCCGUCGUGAAAAGGGAAACAACCCAGACCCACAGCUAAGGUCCCAAAUUCACUGCUAAGUGGAAAACCAUGUGGAAAGGCACAGACAGCCAGGAGGUUGGCUUAGAAGCAGCCACCCUUUAAAGAAAGCGUAAUAGCUCACUGGUCGAGUCGGUCUGCGGGGAAGAUUUAACGGGGCUAAGCAGUGAACCGAAGCUUGGGGUGCAUAACUUUGUUAUGCGCGGUAGAGGAGCGUUCCGUAAGCCGUUGAAGGUGGAUUGAGAAGUCUGCUGGAGGUAUCGGAAGUGCGAAUGCUGACAUGAGUAACGAUAAUGCGGGUGAAAAACCCGCACGCCGAAAGCCCAAGGUUUCCUUGCGCAACGUUAAUCGGCGCAGGGUGAGUCGGCCCCUAAGGCGAGGACGAAAGUCGUAGUCGAUGGGAAGCAGGUUAAUAUUCCUGCACCUCGCGUAAGUGCGAUGGAGGGACGGAGAAGGUUAGGUGUACCAGGCGUUGGUUGUCCUGGGGAAAGGCGGUAGGUUUGGAUCUUUGGCAAAUCCGGGAUCCUUCAAGACCGAGCACCGAGACGAGCCUUUAUGGCGAAGUCACUGAUACCACGCUUCCAGGAAAAGCUCCUAAGCUUCAGCUUACGCAGACCGUACCGUAAACCGACACAGGUGGGUAGGAUGAGAAUUCUCAGGCGCUUGAGAGAACUCGGGUGAAGGAACUAGGCAACAUGGCACCGUAACUUCGGGAGAAGGUGCACCCUUUUUGGUGGCUCGUGCGAGCUAUAGCUGAAGAGGGUCGCAGUAACCAGGCCGCUGCGACUGUUUAUCAAAAACACAGCACUCUGCAAACACGAAAGUGGACGUAUAGGGUGUGACGCCUGCCCGGUGCUGGAAGGUUAAUUGAUGGGGUCAGCCGCAAGGCGAAGCUCUUGAUCGAAGCCCCAGUAAACGGCGGCCGUAACUAUAACGGUCCUAAGGUAGCGAAAUUCCUUGUCGGGUAAGUUCCGACCUGCACGAAUGGCGUAACGACAGCGGCGCUGUCUCCACCCGAGACUCAGUGAAAUUGAAAUCGCUGUGAAGAUGCAGCGUUCCCGUGGCAAGACGGAAAGACCCCGUGAACCUUUACUAUAGCUUUACACUGAACGUUGAGUUCGUCUGUGUAGGAUAGGUGGGAGGCUAUGAAACUGUGGCGCUAGCUGCAGCGGAGCCAUCCUUGAAAUACCACCCUGUCGUGCUUGACGUUCUAACCUGGGCCCAUUAUCUGGGUCGGGGACCGUGUAUGGUGGGUAGUUUGACUGGGGCGGUCUCCUCCUAAAGAGUAACGGAGGAGCUCGAAGGUACGCUCAGCGCGGUCGGACAUCGCGCACUGUGUGCAAAGGCAUAAGCGUGCUUGACUGCAAGAUCGACGGAUCAAGCAGGUAGGAAACUAGGACUUAGUGAUCCGGUGGUUCUGUAUGGAAGGGCCAUCGCUCAACGGAUAAAAGGUACUCCGGGGAUAACAGGCUGAUACCGCCCAAGAGUUCAUAUCGACGGCGGUGUUUGGCACCUCGAUGUCGGCUCAUCACAUCCUGGGGCUGUAGUCGGUCCCAAGGGUAUGGCUGUUCGCCAUUUAAAGUGGUACGCGAGCUGGGUUCAGAACGUCGUGAGACAGUUCGGUCCCUAUCUGCCAUGGGCGUUGGAGAUUUGAGAGGGGCUGCUCCUAGUACGAGAGGACCGGAGUGGACGAACCUCUGGUGUUCCGGUUGUCACGCCAGUGGCAUUGCCGGGUAGCUAUGUUCGGAAGCGAUAACCGCUGAAAGCAUCUAAGCGGGAAGCGCGCCUCAAGAUGAGAUCUCCCGGGGCACAAGCCCCCUGAAGGAACCAUGUAGACUACGUGGUUGAUAGGUCAGAUGUGUAAGUACAGCAAUGUAUUGAGCUAACUGAUACUAAUGAUCCGUGCGGCUUGACCAUAUAACCU